GCUACGGGAGGCAGCAGUCGAGAAUCAUUCACAAUGGGGGAAACCCUGGUGGUGCGACGCCGCGUGGGGGAAUGAAGGUCUUCGGAUUGUAAACCCCUGUCAUGUGGGAGCAAAUUAAAAAGAUAGUACCACAAGAGGAAGAGACGGCUAACUCUGUGCCAGCAGCCGCGGUAAUACAGAGGUCUCAAGCGUUGUUCGGAACCACUGGGCGUAAAGCGUGCGUAGGCUGUUUCGUAAGACGUGUGUGAAAGGCGCGGGCUCAACCCGCGGACGGCACAUGAUACUGCGAGACUAGAGUAAUGGAGGGGGAACCGGAAUUCUCGGUGUAGCAGUGAAAUGCGUAGAUAUCGAGAGGAACACUCGUGGCGAAGGCGGGUUCCUGGACAUUAACUGACGCUGAGGCACGAAGGCCAGGGGAGCGAAAGGGAUUAGAUACCCGUGUAGUC
rnacentral:rRNA from 1 species